AUUGAACGCUGGCGGAAGGCCUAACACAUGCAAGUCGAACGAGUGGCGGACGGGUGAGUAAUGUCUGGGAAACUGCCUGAUGGAGGGGGCAAACUACUGGAAACGGUAGCUAAUAACGCAUAACAUCAGAUGUGCCCAGAUGGGAUUAGCUUGUUGGUGGGGUAACGGAUCACCAAGGCGACGAUCCCUAGCUGGUCUGAGAGAAUGACCAGCCACACUGGAACGGAGAACCUGUCCAGACUCCGACGGGAGGCAGCAGUGUGGAAUAUUGCACAAUGGGCGCAAGCCUUAUGCAGCCAGGCCGCGUGGAUGAAGAAGGACUUCGGGUUGUAAAGUACUUUCAGCGGGGAGGCGUUACCCGCAGAAGAAGCACCGGCUAACUCCGUGCCAGCAGCCGCGGUAAUUC
rnacentral:rRNA from 1 species